UGUCACUUUACUUUGUCCAUGUCAUUUUUGAAAAUAUAAAUUCACACUAAAUGCAAGUGCUCUCAACUCUAACCAUCCUUUCUUACUAAAUCACGAGAUCUGUAGGGAGUUAUAGUAUUUUUAAUUUUCUUCGAUAGCAUCCCCCAAGAUAUUAUAAGCUUUGCUAAUUAAUUAGCACAUAUGGAUGUUUAGCUUUUUCUCUCGAGCAUAAGAAUUAUAAUUGUUAUGGUC
rnacentral:lncRNA from 1 species